rnacentral:rRNA from 1 species
UACAGAGGUCCCAAGCGUUGUUCGGAUUCAUUGGGCGUAAAGGGUGCGUAGGUGGCGUCGUAAGUCGGGUGUGAAAUUUCGGAGCUCAACUCCGAAACUGCAUUCGAUACUGCGGUGCUUGAGGACUGGAGAGGAGACUGGAAUUUACGGUGUAGCAGUGAAAUGCGUAGAGAUCGUAAGGAAGACCAGUGGCGAAGGCGGGUCUCUGGACAGUUCCUGACAUUGAGGCACGAAGGCCAGGGGAGCAAACGGG